GAUGAACGCUAGCGACAGGCUUAACACAUGCAAGUCGAGGGGCAGCGGGGGCGUAGCAAUAUGCCUGCCGGCGACCGGCGCACGGGUGAGUAACACGUAUGUAACCUGCCCUAUGCAGGGGGAUAACCCGGAGAAAUCCGGCCUAAUACCGCGUAACACCUUUGGGGAGCAUUCCCUUGGGGUUAAAGGAGAGAUCCGGCAUAGGAUGGACAUGCGUCGCAUUAGGUAGACGGCGGGGUAACGGCCCACCGUGCCGACGAUGCGUAGGGGUUCUGAGAGGAAGGCCCCCCACACUGGUACUGAGACACGGACCAGACUCCUACGGGAGGCAGCAGUGAGGAAUAUUGGUCAAUGGCCGAGAGGCUGAACCAGCCAAGUCGCGUGAGGGAAGAAUGUCCUAAGGAUUGUAAACCUCUUUUGUCGGGGAGCAAAAAGGCUCUGCGGAGUCGUAUUGAGAGUACCCGAAGAAAAAGCAUCGGCUAACUCCGUGCCAGCAGCCGCGGUAAUACGGAGGAUGCGAGCGUUAUCCGGAUUUAUUGGGUUUAAAGGGUGCGCAGGCGGCGUGUCAAGCAAGCGGUAAAAUAGCGGGGCUCAACCCCGUCGAGCCGUUUGAACUGGCGCGCUUGAGUUCAGGCGAGGUAGGCGGAAUUCGUGGUGUAGCGGUGAAAUGCAUAGAUAUCACGAAGAACUCCGAUUGCGAAGGCAGCUUACCAGUCUGCGACUGACGCUCAGGCACGAAAGUGUGGGUAUCGAACAGGAUUAGAUACCCUGGUAGUCCACACAGUAAACGAUGAGCGCUAGGUGUCCGGGUCGCAUGAGACUGGGUGCCCGAGCGAAAGCGUAAGCGCUCCACCUGGGGAGUACGCCGGCAACGGUGAAACUCAAAGGAAUUGACGGGGGCCCGCACAAGCGGAGGAACAUGUGGUUUAAUUCGAUGAUACGCGAGGAACCUUACCCGGGCUCAAACGACUCAGGAAUAUAUUGGAAACGAUGUAGCCAGCAAUGGUCUGAGUCGAGGUGCUGCAUGGUUGUCGUCAGCUCGUGCCGUGAGGUGUCGGCUUAAGUGCCAUAACGAGCGCAACCCCUACCGCCAGUUGCCAACGGGUAAAGCCGGGAACUCUGGCGGGACUGCCGGCGCAAGCUGCGAGGAAGGCGGGGAUGACGUCAAAUCAGCACGGCCCUUACGUCCGGGGCGACACACGUGUUACAAUGGCAGGUACAGCGGGAAGCCACCUGGUGACAGGGAGCGGAACCCGAAAGCCUGUCUCAGUUCGGAUUGGAGUCUGCAACUCGACUCCAUGAAGCUGGAUUCGCUAGUAAUCGCGCAUCAGCCAUGGCGCGGUG
rnacentral:rRNA from 1 species